UGUGUGCAUGUCUGCGUCUCGGUGGCAGGCAGGGGUGAGCCCAGCCACUCACCUUCCAGGAAGCGUGGAUUCCUGGAAGUGAGGGGAACCGCCGUCAUUUCGCAGGCAGGGGCAGCCGCACGGUAGCUGCUGACAUCCAGAGUUCUCAAAACACAGGCGUGGUGUGGGCUUCUCUUCUUACUCAGAAACCAUCUGUGCAGAGGUCUCUUCUCAUCAACCCACCUUAAGGAAGCAAAGCGUGGCUUCAGAGCGCAGUGAAGCAAAUGGCCUCGGAAAUUUUCUGCUUAGUGUUCAACAUUCUCCAGAGACACUACCGAAAAGAGCCCAUGGGACAUUUCCCCAGCCUCCUUCACAGCGUCUCAUUUGCCUACCUUACGGCAGGAAUCGGAUUUUAUCCCUCUGACAGUAACCGUCCAUCGCUAACUCGGUCCUCUGUGUUCUUGUUGCUCAAUAGUGAACAGACUUGCCUGGACCGGAGGUGGGAGAGUUGGCUGGUUCCUCGGAAGGACCUCUUUCCGUUGAAUCGGCCCACCUGAAGUGUGUCAUUCUGUCCAGCAUGCGGCAAGCAUUGCAUGCCUGUGCCUAAGCAAAUUCCUCCCGAGUCAGUGUCUUUCUGUGUAUUACCCAGACGAGGACCGUGAUUCUCAGGUGUGUCUGACUUCGAUAUCUCCAUCUGUGCGUGUCAAUAAUCCCUUCAUUGGUUCCACUUUAAAGAAAAUUAAUAAAGCACCUCAUAGCUCUUUUCCACGA